GUCAUGGUAGUUCCCCGUUUCUCCGCGAGGUAGCGUGUCGGCUGGCCAGCUUGAACGUGGUGAGCUGCUGAGGUUACUCAAUAAAUCAAUUUUUUUACCUUAAAGUAGGUGUUUAGAUUGCUGAAGAUGGCUGAAGAAGAGAAUGUAAAUAUUGAGCCUUAU